AGUUUGAUGCUGGCUCAAGACGAAUUCUGGCGGCGCGCCUAAUUCAUGUCAGUCAAACCAAAGAUGACGAGCUUGCUCUUCACAUCUAGUGGACAGCGGGUGAAUAACGCAUGAGGAACCUGCCACAAACACGGGGACAACAGUUGGAAACCACUGCUAAUACCGCAUAAACCCACUGCUCGGCCUCGAUCAUAGGGAAAAGGAGCAAUCCGCUUUGAGAUGGCCUCGCGUCCGAUUAGCUAGUUGGUGAGGUAAUGGCCCACCAAGGCGACGAUCGGUAGCCGGACUGAGAGGUUGAACGGCCACAUUGGGACUGAGACACGGCCCAGACUCCUACGGGAGGCAGCAGUGGGGAAUAUUGCACAAUGGGGGAAGCCCUGAUGCAGCGACGCCGCGUGGAGGAAGAAGUUUUUCGGAUUGUAAACUCCUGUCUGUUGAGGAAGAUAAUGACGGUACUCAACAAGGAACUGACGGCUAACUACGUGCCAGCAGCCGCGGUAAAACGUAGGUCACAAGCGUUGUCCGGAAUUACUGGGUGUAAAGGGAGCGCAGGCGGGAGAACAAGUUGGAAGUGAAAUCCAUGGGCUCAACCCAUGAACUGCUUUCAAAACUGUUGGUCUUGAGUGAUGGAGAGGCAGGCGGAAUUCCUUGUGUAGCGGUGGAAUGCGUAGAUAUUCGGAGGAACACCAGUGGCGAAGGCGGCUUGCUGGGCUUUAACUGACGUUGAGGCUCGAAAGUGUGGGGAGCAAACAGGAUUAGAUACCCUGGUAGUCCACACUGUAAACGAUG
rnacentral:rRNA from 1 species